ACUCCCAUGGCCCUGGCUGACCUGGCCCCCACCCUGUGCAGUUCCAGCAGACCUCGGAGCACGCGCUGUUCUCCUGCUCUGUGGUGGAUGUCUUUUCCCAGCUCAACCAGAGCUUCGAGAUCGUCAAGAAGCUGGAGUGCCCCGACCCCCAGAUCGUGGGUCAUUACAUGCGGCGCUUCGCCAAGACCAUCUGUAACGUGCUCCUGCAGUAUGCAGACAUCAUCUCCAAAGACUUCGCCUCGCACUGCUCCAAGGAGAAGGAGAAAGUGCCCUGCAUCCUCAUGA
rnacentral:lncRNA from 1 species